UGUGUGUGUGUGUGUGUGUGUGUGUGUGUGUGUACACACACAUACAUAUACAUAUACAUAUACAAAACGCGCGCGCGCACACACACACACACACACACACACGCACACACG